CCACGUGCCGGUCCCCUGUGUAUGUGUGUUUUCUCCUCCAUCUCUCUCGUUUUCCCCUCUCCUCCCUCACGAACUCUCUCACUCCCUCACUAAAGCUCUCCUCGAUCCCCUUCUCCACCUCACGACCGUCGGCCAAUUCCAGCCGCCGUUGGUGAGAACCGUAGCUUUCCAGCACCGCUAGUGCAGUUCUCAGCCCACACUACCUCCUCCAUCGAGUGAAUUCAACAUGUUCGUUCCUGAGCGGCCCCACAUCCUGGCUCUGGUCCCAUGCUGUCGUGGAUGUGGUCGUUGACCUUGACGGCGCACGGUCGCCAUGGCCGUGGUGCAAGAAGCAGAACCGCAUCACGCAGAUGGAUUAGGCGGUCCGCGUGGCCGUCGGCAAGACGCUUAACCAGGAGCAGAAGUAGGUGAUGCGCUCAAGCCCACCUUCACCACCAUCAUCGACGAGCUCGAGCACCUCUACGCGGGCCACUCGCCUUGCUUCCGUAGUGGGUGUCUCCAGCCGCGACGCACUCCAGGCUUGUGGCCAUCAUGCCCACUUAUGGCUCGCCCGCGGCGAUGAGUCGAUUCACCCUGGCUCCUCUGUUACUUAUGGUGUGGUGAGGGCUAAGUUGGACAGGAUAAUUGCAUCAGACUAUUACACAACAGCUGCAGUUGGAGGGAGCUAGGGAGCUGAAGAUGUGCAGGCACAGGAGAGUAUUACUGUCUGACCAGAGGCACCUUCAGUACAGGAGAACCUAGCUGCUGAAGGUCACAAGGACAACUCCUUGAUACCCAGGAAACAUAAAAACGUAAAUAAACUGGACGUAUUUUGUGCAAGAAACCAAGGCGGGACUAAAGCAAACCAACCUUUGCAUCUACUAUCCAAACCGAUAUGGAGAACCUCAGAGAUGUCAGCCAACAAUACGAGCAUUCAUUGGAAAUCUGGAACUAUGUAUCAGCAUCCAUUGGAAAUCCUGAUCCUUUUUUCAUUGGACUUCAGUUUGGAAUAUUGAGGGCCUAACAAAUCAGAAGCAUUUUAAUUCAUCUCAUCAAUCAGCUUAUGUGCUAGCUGCCUGGCAGCGGUAUUGCGAGAGCACACGCACACCAUGUCAGACCCUGGCCUGCAAGACCAUGCCCCUCGCCGACCGCCAUAUCCCCUCCUACUCCGUCAGCGAUGGCGACUACCAGAGUCCAGCUCUGGGGCUGAUGGUGACCAUGUGCGCAGGGAGGGCGGUGAGCACCCGAGGACGCGGCUACCACUGCCCCACCACCCCUCCUCUUCCUGGAGCAGGUACCGGCGUGAGGAGCACGCAGCCCGUCGGCGCGAGGUUCGCCAUGCGACAGUCCCCUCCGCCAUCAGGCACCACGUCGGCGCGGCCAGCCCACCACCUGCCGCGUCGACGACGACUACCUCUGCAUCCUCACCACCGCCGCCGUCGCGUCCAGCCUGCCAGGCCAGGCCAUGUUGUUCCCCCGCGCUCCAUGGGCGUCGUGGUCGAUCUGCUGGAUCUCAAGUCUGAGGGUUCUUCUAUUUGUGGGAUGCCUCCUCCCCACAUAUGGAUUCUGCAAUGGCAUGUGGGAGGGCCCCAGGUGGCGAGGGGGUUGGGUAUGAUCUUGGAGGAGUGUCGCCGGAGGUCGUGGUGGGAUGUGAGGUCGCCAUGCCUCUACGGCCUCUGCUUCCCCAUGGCCUCUUCCCAGAGGAGGCGCGCGUCGUCGGCCGCGACCACACUGAAAGGAUAAGUAUUGAAGAUGGGAGGAGGGUUGGAGGUGGCGGCGCGCGGCGGCCGGUGGCACACGGUGAGUCGGUGAGAUUGGGAGCACGGUCCUGUGGUGUUUUUCUUUCUUUCUCUAUUGCAUACCGAUUCGGUUGACUUAUCAUGGGGAGCGCGGGUUGAAUACGCAUAAACAUAGGGACCUUUUUGCAAAAUUGCCGACGGAUGACCAGAAACUCAAUUUGCUUUAUUAUUAAUAAGGUAAAGAUAAAGAUUAUUAUUAUUAUUAUUAUAAUAUUAUUAUUAUUACUAGCAAAAGAGCCCGUGCGUUGCAACGGGAGAAAAAACACAACACACACUCUUAACCGAACAACCAUCACUCAAGACCACAAUAGGUCCAUCUCCUUUAUUUUAACGACACAUCAUAUUUGUGUUGCCGCUUAUCCUUCUUCCCACCCUCGCCGACGAUGGCCUUAGUGUUCACACAAACCAAAACGUGUUAGAAUGUGGUUAAUCCUAAGACGUCUCUUUCUCCUUCUGUCCUCCCUCUCCCUCUCUCUCGCUUUCUCUCACACUCGCGAUAAAAUAUCUGUUGUUUUCCCCUGCGACGUAUUCAGAGGUAUGCAUGUGUAGUUCUCGAUGUUUUCUUUUCCCUAUAUGAUUAUAGUGGGUGUUUAUUUGCAAUCCGGAUCGCCGUCUGUAUCAAAGAAAAAUGGAUCGUGCGCUAUAAUUAUAAGUUUCCUUUCAAAACAAUAUUUAAAAAAUAUUUAAUAGGUAAAAUUAACAUCACAUACAGAUUUCACGCAUUUUUCUAAUCAAAUUUCAUAUAUAACAUAUUAAAAGUCGGAUACGGUUUAAAAGAUGCGUAUAAUUUAGAAAACCAUUUGUUUGAAUUAAAUAUCUUUCAAAAUAAUAUUUAUAAAUACUUAACAGGUUAAAAUAAUCUUAUAUUCAUAUUCUACAUAUUUUUCUAAUCAAAAUUCAUAUAUAACAUGUUUAAAUCGGAGUUACGGUUUAAAAGAUAUGGAUGAUUUAGAAAAGCAUUUGUUUUAUUAAAUAUGAUCCGCGAAUAGAAUACCUAAAAAGCCAAGGGGUUUUUUGAAAAACUGUAAAAUAACGGUUCGGAGUGACUUAAAUCUGGACUGCGGGUUGAUUUCAUGUAAAACAGGGGCUUUUUUGCAAAUUGGCACGACGGACGGGCAGAUACCCCGCGUAACUAGUAAUAGUAACUAGUAAUAGUAACUAGUAAAAAUGCCCGUGCGUUGCACCGGGUGAAAAAUAAAAGAAAUUAUUUUGUUUUUUCCACUCUAGAUUUUGCCAAAAAAAAUUCUGCCAGUCUAGAUUUUGACAUUUCACUUUUUCACUCUUAUUUUUUGACAAUUAUCACAAUUGUCAUUAUGUGGCAAAAGCAAAAUAAUUUAUUUUAUUUUUGCCACUCAUAACUUUUGAUAAUUAUCACAGUUGUCAUUUCCAAUUAUCACAAUUGCCACUCAGAAAAUUUUGCUUUUGCUACAGGAAUGGCAAUUGUGAUAAUUGUCAAAAACUAAUAGUGGCAAAACUGAAAAUGUCAAAAUCUAGAGUGGCAUAAUGAAAAUUGGCAAAAUCUUGAUUGGCAAAAUAAAAAUAAUUCCUGAAAAUAAAAUACAACCUGCUCCACGUGCCAUUAUGCAGCACUUUUUUAAUCCAAUUUUUGAAAUCCUCGGAAAUAAGGUUACACUUUGGACCAUGAAAUUUAGACGUACCCUAACAACGUUCGUCGUGACCUAUUUUAGCUCCGCACUUUCAUUUUGUCCUCGUGAGGGCAAAAUUUCUUCUCCUUAAGUAAUAAUUAUUUUUUUCUAAUAUUUCACUCACAUAUAUUUUAGUUACUAUUAUAUAAUGAUAAUUUAUUUGUGAUAUAUGGUCUGCAUGCCCAAUAAAUUACUAUUAUAUAAUGAUAAUUUAUUUAUGAUAUACGGUCGGCAUGCCCAAUAAACUAUGACGGUACCAAGAAAUCAUUAUCGAAGCUCACCGGAACAAAUUAUUUUGUAAUUUUUUAUGGGGAAAUUCUUUUAUAAUGCUAGCUCGUAGAGCAACAUCUAGCUGCUUCUAGUAAUGCACCACAACAUCUAGUAGUAGCAGCUCGUUAAAAAAAGCAGUAGGGACAGCACCGAUUCCCAGAAUUCAUCGUCUCACCGCCCAGUAGAUGCCCCUUCUCUUGUCCACACAUUGCUAUUCCUCCACAAGCCCACAUCACUUAGUGCUACUUCGCCUCCAUCUUCCUUCUUCUGCUACCUCAACACCCAGCUCUGCUCCUACUCUUCCUCAGCUCCCUCCUACCAACGCCUGGUCGUGCUCCACUCCCAGCUAUGACGGUCACAUGAGCUCCACCCGCACCAACACGAGACGACGAAGCUGACGUCCCGUGCUCUGUAUACCUUCGUCUGCUCAUGAUUCGACCUCCUAUUACUCCACAACGACACCAACCCAUACUCCCUUCCCCUCCACAGCCAAGCAACCGCUGCAUCAGGCACGGGUACGCAUGCCGACUGCCUGAUCUGGUAUGGAUGCGCGCGGUAGCUCCUCCCACCCCUGAUCUUUCCUUGGCAAGCUCACAUCUCCACCUGGUCCGCAACAGGAGACGCCACGCUGGGUGUUGUAGCUACGGAGGUCAUCGAUUGGGCGAAGGACGCCCAGUGGCAGUGGGAAGUGACCCGAGGCGAGGUGGAGUCAGCAAGGCGGCAGAGUGGCGAGAUUCGGGAUCGAUGGAUCCGACUCCCGACGCUGCGAGCCCGUGUUGCCCAGAUCUUGACGACGGCGAGCCGAGGUUGCCUACGGGCGGCGGGCGGCGCUCCCGUGGCGAGGAUGGCGGGGCCUGGUCGGAUUCGGGCGGAUCUGGCCGGGAUGGAUCUAUUUCUGGCGGAUUUGGCUUGGAGGCGGCCGGAUCUGGCGAGAUUGAGGGCCGAUGGCGCCAUGGUCCUCCUGGAGAUCCCUGCUCACCGAGAAAGAGAGACAGAGGUGAGAGGAGAUCAAGAUGAAGGAGGAGAUGGGCGAGGCGGCGGAGCGGCCGGAGCUCCGGCGGCGGGGCACGGUGGAGGUGUGGGGUCGCCGGCGAGGUGGCUUGCGGGUGCGAGGGGAGCUCGGGUAGGAGGAAGCUGCGGGAGGCGGAGCGGUCCAGUUCGGGCUGGAUUUCUAGGGUUAUUUAUGUAAAAGUGAAAGUUUUUUUAGAAUCCACUAAAGAAAGGACUACGGGUUCAAUUUUGAAAAAGUACAAGGACUUUUCUGCAAAAUCACCGACGACGACGUACGACCAAAAACGAUCGGUGCUUUAUUAGUAGGUAGAGAUAGAGACUAGUACAAAUGCCCGUGCGUUGCAUCGGGCGGAAUAUUAAAUAUAACUUGCUCCACAUGUCAUUAUGCAACACUUUUUUAAUCCAAUUUUUACAAACGUCAGAAAUAAGGAUGCACUGAGUAUUUUUUUUGGACCAUAAAAUUUGGACGCAUUCUAACAAUGUUCGACAUGACCUAUUUCAGCUCUCCGAUGAAACAGUAAUUGUGUAUGGCAUAGUCUUUCAAUCAAUUUUAUUUAUUGUUGUACAGAAAAACAUGAAUAUUUUUUAAUUU